rnacentral:tRNA from 1 species
ACUUAUGUAGUUUAAUUAAAACAUUACAUUUUCAUUGUAAAAAUAAUGAAUUAUUUAUUUAUAAGUA